GACGAACGCUGGCGGCGUGCUUAACACAUGCAAGUCGAACGGAAAGGCCCUGCUUUUGUGGGGUGCUCGAGUGGCGAACGGGUGAGUAACACGUGAGUAACCUGCCCUUUACUUUGGGAUAACUUCAGGAAACUGGGGCUAAUACCGGAUAGGAGCUCCUGCUGCAUGGUGGGGGUUGGAAAGUUUCGGCGGUUGGGGAUGGACUCGCGGCUUAUCAGCUUGUUGGUGGGGUAGUGGCUUACCAAGGCUUUGACGGGUAGCCGGCCUGAGAGGGUGACCGGCCACAUUGGGACUGAGAUACGGCCCAGACUCCUACGGGAGGAAGAAGUGGGGAAUAUUGCACAAUGGGCGGAAGCAUGAUGCAGCAACGCCGCGUGCGGGAUGACGGCCUUCGGGUUGUAAACCGAUUUCGCAUGUGACGAAGCGUGAGUGACGGUAAUGGGUAAAGAAGCACCGGCUAACUACGUG
rnacentral:rRNA from 1 species